rnacentral:pre_miRNA from 1 species
CGCUUUUCGAAUCCGUACUGAGAUUUCGUCAGACACCAACCCGUUUGUGCUGAUCAGACUUCCAAGAUAAGCAAAGUU